UACAAGCUUCUUAGACCCACUUUUAGCAUAUAUCUGUUCUACGUUUCUGGUAGAUCUCUUUGUACCCUGGUGUUGGGUUCUCCAAUGUGCUGGCAAAUGAUAUUCAUCAACCUUUAUGGUUGUACAGUCAAAGGUGCUUGAGUCAUUGGCAUGUUACAGUAAUAUACCUUCACUUUUAACCCCUCUGUUCUGAUGUGAAUGACCUGUUACUCCAAGCUGUUUUCUGCCAUCAGGGCUUUGCUGCUGUGUGGACUUG